ACAGAGACCGAGAGAAGGAAAUUGAUUAAGAGAGAGGCAGAAAUGGUAUGGCUUGAGAGAAGAGAUGAGUCCGAGAGGUGGAAAAACUGGGAGAAUCGGUUCUGCCAUUUACCCACAACCCAGCUGACCCGAAGCCGGCAACCCAUAAACUGGAGACCCGAGUCCAUAACCGCGACCCAUGCUCCAGCAGGAUUGUUGCUCGGACAGUCUCGAUCCCGGCCCAACCCGAAGCCCAAAACCGUAGCAGGCCGAGCAAAACCCGACGAAGCCGUGACCCGACUCUUCUGGGUUGACACCCACGACUUAUGGUACGAUUUCCGGCGGAUCCAAACAGAGAUGAACCCGGUGGCCGGUGAGACGAUUCCGGCAGCAACCGUGACCCAGCCGAUUGUAGCAGACCGGAAACUGUGGACAUUCGGCCAGAACCAAAGCAGCCCAUACAACCGAUCCAGAACCGUGGACUCCAACCCAGUCCAUCCCUGCAACCCAUCCAGCACGUGAUCCAUCAACGAACCAAGGAACCCGAUCCUAACCGCAUCCUCCAAACAAUGAGCAGAAUCCGGCAAUUUUGUUGAGAACUUCCAUCACUGUGAUGGAUUUUCUGAGAAGACUUCGGCUGAGUGAAGGUGAGUAUGUAUGAGAUUUUGUGUCGGGCUGUGUCUCCUACUUGUAGGUUUGACUGAAAUUAUGUGAGUGUUGUGAUUUGGGCUUAAGCAAUGAUGUAUGAGUAUUCUGGACCCAAAUCUCCAACCCAUUAGGCCCAGUUGUGGUCCAGCCCCAUAGCCCAGCAAUGAGCCCAGCAGAAACCCAAGCCCAUAAAGCCCAGACCCGAAACCCAACAGUGACCGAAACCCGGAUCCAGCCCGUGACCCAGUCGGCCCAUACCCGAGUCCAACUGACCCGGAUCCAAACCCAUGAUCCGGAACCCGGAACCCGACCCGCCGGUGACCCAGAUCCGGCAGAACUUCCGGCGACUCUCCGGCGACUUUUCCGGCGACUCUCCGGCGACUUUUCCGGCGACUUCCAAAACUCACCAUUUUCACUGGAUUUUCUAGUGAAAAUCCUCAAUAUGAUGAAUUGAGACAGCACAAAAAGGACUAUGUUUGCGCAGGUACUGAAGAUUAUGGAAUGGAUUAACUGCUAGCUUAAGAGAUUUAUAGCUGUGUAGUUAGGAUUUUAGUACUUUGUACUCAUAGAUGUUUGUACUAUUUGCUUGUAAUAUGUCUAGACAUUUACUUGUAAUUAAUAAGUUCCAUGCAGGCUUUAGUGUCAUAUGUGACACAUGUUUCAUUGUAAAUAGUGUAAAGAUUUUUAAUGUAUUUUCUAGAAGAUAUCAGUUAAAGCUCUGAAUAUAUCGUAAGGGAGUUGUCCCUAUCGGUGAUGUUUAAAAAAAAAAGAUAUUCGUAUUUUUCCGCUGCUAGAUUUUAUCAACU